UACAGAGGGUGCGAGCGUUAAUCGGAAUUACUGGGCGUAAAGGGCUCGUAGGCGGCCAACUAAGUCCGACGUGAAAUCCCAAAGCUUAACUUUGGAACUGCGUCGGAUACUGGAUGGCUUGAAUUCGGGAGAGGGAUGCAGAAUUCCAGGUGUAGCGGUGAAAUGCGUAGAUAUCUGGAGGAAUACCGGUGGCGAAGGCGGCAUCCUGGACCGACAUUGACGCUGAGGAGCGAAAGCUAGGGGAGCAAACGGG
rnacentral:rRNA from 1 species